rfam:Callipepla squamata strain Texas jcf7180005230350, whole genome shotgun sequence.
CCGAGCUGCUGAUGAGAUGGUUAUCCCUGUCCGAAACGGAACGUCCCUCUGUGGAAGCGUGACUCUGAGGCUCGG